UUUAUUAAAGCCAAUAAAAAACCAUGGAUUGCCUCUUCACAUCAGGAUCCGCUUUGCUGGAACAAUGGAGCAGGACUUCCCCUAAUGAGCUGCCUGUCUAACCUCCGGGAGGCCUUCCUGCAGCAACAGCCGCCACCAACCCAAGCGCCCACGCACUGAGCAAGCCACCAGGAUUCCACGGACCCAUCCUCCAACUGACAUUAAAAGAAAGAAGACUGUUUCUACAGCUUACAGAAAAUAUCAAGCUGCAGCUUUCUUGCUGAGAAGAUCUGAACACUACUUUAAUUUCCCAGCCAGGAGCUGGUGUUUCAUCAUGGACCAGGCAUAUUAAGUGGUUGUGGAAAUGGAAGACCACAAUGCAGGCCAUAUGGCAGCAUUUCUUUGCAGAAGAGAAGAGACCUUCAAAUCAAACAGUGAAGUCUCAGAGCCGUUGGAUGUCACAGUUACUAGUUUGGAGUUAAGAGCAGGAAAUGUCUUUAUCUCUUUUGAC
rnacentral:lncRNA from 1 species